GACAAAACCAUGUCAAAUAAACAAACACUAUUUAUAAUCAAAAUAUAAAUAAGCUAAAAAUGUACUAAUGAAGUCUCAGGGUGUAUGGUAGAUAUCUGUACAUAGGAGUUAAAAAAUAAUUUUUCAAACAAAUAAUGUGUUUGACAACAAAAAUAUUGUCCAACCAAACAUUUCACAUAUCUUAAUGAGAUAGGAAUUCAUAUCCAUCGUACCAAUCAUUUUUAGCAUUUAAUCAUUUUCAAGUUUGGACAUAGCCACCAACCAUCAUGACAGAGACACUCUUGUUAUUGCUACUGAUCCUCUCGCCCAUCAUCAUAGCUUACAUAUAAAUAAUAAUCUUCUUUUUCCCCACCGCCGCCGCCCCCACAACCACCGUUCUCCACCUUCCACCUAGUCCACCAUCCAUCCCACUAAUAGGCCACCUCCACCUCCUCACUCCAUCUCUCUACAAAUCCUUCCAAUCUCUUUCCACCAAAUACUGCCCCUUAUGGUCCUUACUGGCGGUUCAUGAAGAAGCUUUGUGUGAAGGAAUUGCUGAGUGGGCGGCAAGUCGAACGGUCGAAGAGUAUAAGAAGAGAUGAGAUUGAAUGUUCGGUGAAAAGGGUGAUGGAGAGUGCUGGUGUUGCUACUGCAGUUGAUUUGGGUGCUGAGCUUAUGAAGCUUGCAUGUCACUUGCAGAAUGGCUAUGACCACCAGGUGUUCUGAGAAAUGCGAGGAUGCUGAGAGGAUUAGGAAGUUGGUGAAGGAAUCUUUUGAGCUUGCUGCAAAGUUGUGUUUUGGGGAUGUGUUGGGGCCUCUCAAGGAAUUGAGCUUUUGGAUUUAUGGGGAAAAGUCUAUGGAUGUAAGUAAGUAGGAGGUAUGAUGAAUUGUUGGAAAAGGUGUUGAAGGUGCAUGAAGACAAAAGAUCAUCAUCAUCACAUGAUAUUGGUGAUGAGAAUGAGAGGGAUUUAAUGGAUAUUUUAUUGGAUAUUCACUAUGAUGCCCGUGCUGAGUUCAAGAUCACAAGGACCCAUAUCAAAGCAUUCUUUAUGGUAACUUUAACUUUUCAUACUUAAUCUUUAAUUCUACACUUCACUUCUAACAUAUUUUAACCCCCUUGUCAUUUCCCAUUUUUUAUUUUAUGGAGAAAACGCAAUCUUUGUUUUAGUA